GGCGCGCGCCCGCCGCGAGGGGUCCGGUCGUGACAGUAGACGCCGGGAGGGGUGGGGCCGGGACGCGAGGGGUCACGUCAAGGCGGCGUAGACAAAGGGGGGCGGGCGCGCGCACGUCCUUACGCACGCCCGGGCCGGCGGCGGCGAGCCGGAGCGUGAGGGACGGUCCCCGGAGGGCUGUGGCGCCGCGGAGCGUCGCGGUGGCACAUCUUGAUUUGGACUAACUACAUUUCAAGUGCUCAAGAGUCUCAUGUGAUUAGUGGCUGCUGAAUUGGACAGCACAGUUUUCAGGGGACCAGUAUGGACAGAAUCACUGUCAGCUGAACAUAGAGAUAAAGGCGCAC
rnacentral:lncRNA from 1 species